rnacentral:lncRNA from 1 species
AUGCAUGUCCCUACGCCCUCCUCUCUGCUCUACAGUUGCAGGCUUGAGGAAGGGAAGCUGUGGAAAAUCACAGAAGUGGAGAGAAGAGGCAGCCCCACCAGCCAGGAUGGAGAGAGCAAGGCAGGCACGGCUGCUCCACAGAGAAGUAAGCCAGUGCGUCUUCACGCUGAUGGAAGUACCGCCAGAGUUCCCUGGGAUAGGAACUCCCGUCCCAGCUCCAAUCCUGCAGCAUCUGAUCCAGGGGCCACGUCUCUAGGCUAUGGAACCUCCUGGAAGCAAAGCACUCUGUCCAGCACCUUGAUGGUGGUCUCCUCAUCAGAACCAGCUCCAGGCAGGAGGACAAGGUGAAGGAAGAGCCUAUCCACACUGCCUAGUCUACACCCCAUCUCCUGGGAGUCCCAGCCUGGCCUCCAGGAAGCCAAAGCUCUCUCCAGAGUUUUACCUUGCCAGCCACACUGAGAGGAACGAAAGAAGGGGAAGUAAGAGAACAAAGAAAUAGCCACUUCAAUCUUCCUAAAGUUGCAACUCAAGCCCACGCUCCCACACAUACACACUCACACAGUGGUCCCAUCUCUUAUGGUCUCUAGGACUCUACUUUGUCCUUGACCUGUUUUCAGAAUGCUGCUUCCUUGAACAUGGGGUUGAGUAGGAAGAAGGAAGGGAAGGGAAAUAAGAGAAUUUCCAACCACCUGGUUUGGGAUUGCCUUAGAGAGCUAUUCUGGUGGUACAGGCCCCUGCACACACACACAGACACGUGUAGCCACCAGUGUCUGUGUUUAGGAGAACGCUAAAAGCACUUUGUAUUCUUUUAGGCCAGUGAUUCUGGUCUCUCCCUCCCCAAGGGGAUGUUUGCAAUAUCUGGAGACAUUUUUUGCUGUCCCAGCUGGAGCCAAGCAUGCUACCAGCAUGUGGUGUAGAGAGGUCAGGCAUCCCAAGUGUCCUAGAGCACACAGCCCAACCCCCGCCCCACAGCAGAGACUUCUCUGACCUCAAUGUCAAAUGUGCCAUAGUUGAGGAACCCCGAGAUUUAGGGAAAGAACUCCUUUAGCACUGGUGAGGGGUCAGGGAGACCUAAAGGCACAAGAGGUAGAAUGAAAGAGUGAGAGGGUCUCAAAGUGUGGUAGGCGAGCGAGAGAAAGCAGCCUGCCAUUGAAGACACAAUCCCCACUCGUGUGUUGGAGAGAUGUUUUUGCUCUGUUACUGCCAUAGAGGGAAGACACAGAUUGCCAGGAUGACGAAGGAAGGGGGUAGAAUGUAAGCCUCUGGGUGUCUGCGGGCAGAGGCCAGGUAGAGCCAGGACCACACUGAUCCCUGGUAGUUUCUUCCUAUUUGUUCUUUUACCAGUUCAGCCUUCUUCUAGGCUCUUUUCAAUAUGCUGGGGAAAGCCCUCCUGUUGUCCUCAUUUUGCAGGCAGGAAAUCUAAGGCACAGAGAGGUUGAGUAAGUAGCCCACGGCCACACAGCUGGUAAGAUGCAGAGGCAGGAUUCAAACCAGGUCCAUCUGAUUUGAUGGGUGCUGACCUGACACUUGACCACCAGACUAUGAUGCAGUUCAGUGUGGCAAUCUCAGUUCAUGGAGGCUGACGCCUUCAGAUUAUUAAAGCCAAGAAAAGCAGAUGUUUGAAUCCACUGAGCAUCUCCCCUACAACAUAGCACGAACCCUUGGCUUGGGCCAGGGAGGGCACGACAAGUGGCCAAGCCCUCACAGAUUGCCUUUCACCCCCUUGGCCUCACUGGAAAGCCCAGGCACCACACUAUACCUGCCAGAGAGGACACCAGUUUGAAGGCACAGGAAGGCAAGCUCGUUCCCAAGGACUCUCUCAGUAGUUUUAAGGAAUAAUUGAAACUCGUAGUUGACCCCAACCCUGCAGAGCUGGCACAGGAGGAACACAAGCAUUUUAUAAACGCUCUUGCAGGAGGGGAGGUGAGCUCACUUCCUGAGGGAAUGCUGCAGGGGGUGUCUGCGGGGGCCAGCCAGGCCUGGCUUUCAAACAUCUGAACCGGCCCACAGUGUAAUAGGGCAUGAAUAUUGAUUCAAAUAAAUUAUGCAUGUUUAUACACUCAUUUAUUAUUUUAUUCACACGCUCACUCUGUGUCGUUUGCCUGGGUAACUGCCACGGGGCCAGUCGGCUCUUGGAUGCUGUAAAAAAAUAAGUUGCUUUGAAAUAUUUGGUGACCAAAGGGAAAUCCAAGUCAUUAGUGAAAAUUAUAACCAAAAUGACAGCAAAUUUCUAUCAUCUGGAAGGGCCUUGGCAAGUCCAAGUCAUCGGGGUCAGAUGUUGCCCUGUUCCUCAGGCUUCCAUGACACCAUAGAAGAGCGAAUAUGGAAGGCUCCAGAGCAUUCUAGCAAUUAUCAUUUUAACAAAUAGGGCUCUUUUCUAAUAUUCACAUUCCUUUCGCAUGGCCUCAUGAAAACACAAACAUUC